GAGAUGUGGCUCAUGAGGAGUAGCUUCGGAGAGUCUUAGUUUAUGUUAUUAUUAUUAUUAUAAUAAAGUAAGUGUCUUGCUCUGUAAUGUAACACUGGGUAAAUAUUUAUGUUACUUUUACACUUCUGUUGAGAGGAUUUUAUAAUCUCUCCUUAUGAAAGUUGUUGAAUAAUUUUCUAAAUUAUGGCGAUGUCGUACUGUUGAUGGCCGAAGUGCCUAUGAAAUUCAGUUUUGAGUAUGAUGAAUUUUAUUGGAAUAUCAAGGAAGAUAAACCUAUUUAAAUAAGUGAUUUUAUGCAUCUUAGGAUUAUCUGACUGGUUUAGAUAUUUUAUUGGCAUAAAUAAUUCAUUCUUUGGAAAUCAUAUGAACUUAUAAAAUUUCAAACACAAUCAGUGUUAAUUUUAAUGAGUUUUCGUGAAGGUGUGUAAUACUCCCUUGAUAUGUUUUUAAACUCUGAUAAACGUUUUUAAAUAAAACAAUGGGAAAAAGGGGGUGUUACAUUAGUGGUAUCAGAGCAUGGUCAGUCAGUAGACUAGGUUUAUCAUUAUCACCAUGUUUAUUAACGUGUUUAAUUCCUUUUGUAUUCGAUAUAUGUGUUUGUGACACAAUCGAUACUGUUUUGGAAUUCUCAGGACAAUGGUCCCGAGUUGUUCGCUUAAGAAAAUUUUCGAGUGCGAAAAUUCUUAAGUGGGGGAGAGUUGUAACACUCCACUUUUCGUUAUUAGGUUAUUUAUUAUUUUAUUUUAAUUAUUAUGUUAUCUGGUAAUUUGAUAAUUUAUGUGAUUUAAUUUGAUGAUUAUGUGAUUAUGUGAUUUAAUUAGAUGAUAAGGUCAUUAAUUUAUUUUAUUAAAUAAUUAUGUGAUAUAGAUAAAUAAGGUUUUAGGUUUUAAGUGAGUAGUUGAGAGUGGGGCCCAUUGUAAGAUUAUCUAAGGGUUAUGAGAGAAUUAGAAAGAGAGAAAUCAGAAAAUUAGGAUUAGAGAAGCAGCAGAACAGAGGAACACGUGAAAGGUGAAGGAGAGGAGAAAAGGUGGAGAAAACCUAGAAUUUGAUCUUCAAGAAGAAAAGGGUCAAGGAGGCUUUGUACCGGUGUCAUAGAAGGUAAGGGUUUGAAUUUACUUUGUAUAAUUGUAGAAUAACAGAGGUUGAGUUUAACAUGAAGGAACCCCCAACUUCUUUGAAAAUUCAGAACUGAGAGACUGUGUUGAGUGUUAAUAUGUGGUGAGCAAAAUUGAUUUUGAACGAAUUUGAGGUUAUGGGGAGAAUUGGGUUCUGUUCUGGCCGCAGAUACCCUAGCAGUCUGUGUUGUAGAGAGCAUAACUCUCUCUAAAGAAUUCCGAAUUGAGUGAAACCAAUUUUGUAUGAAAGCUAACUCAUAGGUUUAUGUUGGGUAAAAUUUUCAUAAUUUUUGGGUUGCUGGUUGAGUACCAUAAUUAUCUGCAAGUUCACUCUGUUUCUGCCCGCAGACACCCUAGCAGCCUGUGCUAUAGAGAGCAUAACUCUCUCUACAGAAUUCCGAAUUGAGUGAAACCAAUUUCGUAUGAAAGCUAACUCAUAGGGUUAUAUUGGGUAAUAUUUUUGUAAUUUUUUGGUUGCUGGUUCAAUACCAGAAUUAUCUGCAAGUUAACUCUAUUUCUGCUCGCAGACACCCUAACAGCCUGUGCUGUAGAGAACAUAACUCUCUCUACAGAAUUCCAAAUUGGGUGAAACCAAUUUUAUAUGAAAGCUAACGUAUAAGGAUAUGUUUGGUAAAAUUUUCAUAAUUUUUGGACUGCUCAUUUAGUACCAGAAUUAUAUGCAAGUUUGCUAUGUUUCUGCUUAUUUCUGGGAUUGAUUCUGAAACUGAUUCUAGUAAUUGAUAUGAGACAUUUGAUGAUUUUGUGUUGCUAUUUUGUCAGUGGAAUAGUGAAUGAUUUGAUAAUUGUAUUGAAGUGUUAUCUUGUGCAAUUUUUGUGUGAUUUCCGUUAUGGAAUUUGGUGAGAAAAUAUGUUAUAUAUUUGGGGCUGGAGUGGUUUCAAAUUGCAUGUUUUAAUUUAUGAGUUUUUGCACGAAAUACACUUCAUUUAGUCAAGAGGCAACGUGUCGGUUUUCAUCGGAAAACUGAGGUUUGUCCCAGAACUGGCGUGGUUCUGGAAGUCUGGAGUGGACUUCAUUGGUGGUUAACUGUCUGGAGUGGACGCGGUGAUACCGCUAAGGUUAACAAUUGGUACCACAUGCAUACAUUAGAGUCUCACACACUAAGUUUCACGUUUUCAGUGGUUUUAUGUGUUUGGUGAUUUGUUGGUGAAUUGUUUUGCUGUUGUGGUAAAGUCAAAUUAUUAUUCUUCUUUAAGCUUAUAAUUUUCCGAAACAUUAAUAAGAAUUGUGAAACUGUCUUGAGAGAAAAUAUUAUAAUCACUCAAAUUUUAAAGACAAUGUGAAGAGUUUAUAAAGCAGGAUCUGAAUUGUUUACUUGCUCUUUGUUAUGCUAUAUUUUAUACAAUGUAAGUUCUUACCCUUCUGUUGGAAUGAUGUUCUAUGCGACAUCGCUCAGGUACUGGAGGUAGAGAUGUGGCUCAUGAGGAGUAGCUUCGGAGAGUCUUAGUUUAUGUUAUUAUUAUUAUUAUAAUAAAGUAAGUGUCUUGCUCUGUAAUGUAACACUGGGUAGAUAUUUAUGUUACUUUUACACUUCUGUUGAGAGGAUUUUAUAAUCUCUCCUUAUGAAAGUUGUUGAAUAAUUUUCUAAAUUAUGGCGA
rnacentral:lncRNA from 1 species